CGUGUGGUUAAGGAGCUCAGCCCGUUGGAAGCGGCGAUGUGGUGGGUGGUGGUCGGCGGGAACCCCGCCCGAGUGCGGACCAGCUGGCCCAGCCACGGCCCACGGCGGCCCCGGGGGCGGCGGCGGAGCGCCGGGGCCGCUUCUGACGACACCGGCCGACUCGGCUCUUCUCAGAACUGCCGCACGCGUAAAAUGAAGGGCUUGAAGAAGAUGUAAAAUUCAACAGUUCAGCCAGUGAUUGGAGUGUCGCGAAGUUGGAACGCAGCUACAUGUGGAUGCUGAUCAGCCUGUGACACUCAUCCCAGGAUGCCGAAGACAUUCAUACUUCUCAAGAAACAAACUCGCAAGGAUCGGAGGAUACAACAUUACCGCUGUCGGCCACAACAAGCACAAGUUGAAAUUCUAAGCAGUCUGCGAGGGAUAAGGAAUUGUUGCAUUUGAAAAAUGCAAUAGAUGCCCUGAGGACAAUAUUAAACCAUCCUGGCGAACAAGCCAGCUUCCUAUGAGCACAGCUGCACAAUAUUCGGGGUCUACUCAGAGACUACAAUACGGAGGCAAUGGCGGAUGUACAGAAAGUCAUAUCAGCGAAAUGAGAAAGUUUCAAGUCUGAAAGUCGGAGAAAAGAAGCUAUUGGCUACAAACACUAUCGUGCUAAAUAUGUAUAUAGAUAGCAGGCAUUCAGAUACGUUUACGUUGGUUAUCGGUUUAUCAUGACACUGUUUAGUAAGAACUGUAAACGCUUUGUGUUAUAUCUGUAUGUCAAUUUCUAUCGUUGUUGUAUUUUAUUAAAACGUACAUGGCAUAGAAAA